rnacentral:rRNA from 1 species
AUGACUAAUUUGCAAGGUACAGCAGCGCGGAAGCAGCAACAGUCAUGUUCUCAAGCUUUGAUUUUGUAUAUAGAGCUAACGAUCCAUGCCCAAUAUGAAAAAAUAUCAUUUCUGCUUGGUCUUUUGUCCUUGGACCCUUCAAGAUGGCCAUCCCCUACUCCAUCAGAGUCCCUUGCUAUAAAAAAUCAGAAGUUUUCAGAUUUAGUUGUCAAAUGCUUAAUUAAGUUGACAAAGGUUCUUCAGAGUACAAUAUAUGAGGUUGACCUUGAUUGCAUUCUUCAAAGUGUUCAUAUUUAUUUACAAGAACUUGGAAUGGAAGAGAUAUGGAGGAGGGCUGGAGCUGAUAACAAGCCAUUAAGAAUGGUCAAAAUUGUGCUACAUGAACUUGUAAAGCUACGAGGCACAGCAAUAAAAGGUCACCUUUCAAUGGUUCCUAUAGACUCUGAGCAUACAUCGAUCUUAAUCUCCAGACCCUUGCAGCAGCUAGGAUGUUAA